rnacentral:rRNA from 1 species
UACGGAGGGUGCAAGCGUUAUCCGGAUUCACUGGGUUUAAAGGGUGCGUAGGCGGGUAUAUAAGUCAGUGGUGAAAGCUCCGGGCUUAACUUGGAAACUGCCAUUGAUACUGUAUAUCUUGAAUGUCGUAGAGGUUAGCGGAAUGUUGCAUGUAGCGGUGAAAUGCUUAGAUAUGUUACAGAACACCAAUUGCGAAGGCAGCUAACUAUGCGAUGAUUGACGCUGAGGCACGAAAGCGUGGGGAUCAAACAGG